rnacentral:rRNA from 1 species
GCGCGAAAACUUUACAAUGCUGGCAACAGCGAUAAGGGAACCUCGAGUGCCAGGUUACAAAUCUGGCUGUCGAGAUGCCUAAAAAGCAUUUCAUAGCAAGGGCCGGGCAAGACCGGUGCCAGCCGCCGCGGUAACACCGGCGGCUCGAGUGGUAACCGUUAUUAUUGGGUCUAAAGGGUCUGUAGCCGGCCGGAUAAGUCUCUUGAGAAAUCUGGCAGCUUAACUGUCAGGCUUUCAGGAGAUACUGUCUGGCUCGAGGCCGGGAGAGGUGAGAGGUACUUCAGGGGUAGGGGUGAAAUCUUGUAAUCCUUGAAGGACCACCAGUGGCGAAGGCGUCUCACCAGAACGGACCUGACGGCAAGGGACAAAAGCUAGGGGCACGAACCG